UUGUGGUUUUAAUAUGCAUUUCCCUGAGUAUUAGUGAUGUUGAACAUUUUCUUAUAUGCGUAUUGGCCAUUUGUAUGCAUAUCUUCUUUUGAGAAAUGUCCAUGUCAUUUGUCCACUUUUUAACGGAAUUGUUUUUUCCUUGCUGAUCUGAGUUCCUUGCAGACUCAGUAUAUUAGUCCUCUGUUAGAUGCGUAGUUUGCAAAUACUUUCUCCCAUUCUGUAGGCUGUUUACUCUGUUGAUUCUUUCUUUUGCUGUGCACAAGACUUUUACUUUAAUUAGGUCCCACUUAUGUAUUUUUGUUGCAUUUGGUUUGAGAUCUUAGUCACAGAUUCUUUGUCUAGGCCAAUGUCCAGAAGGGUUUUUCCUAAGUGUUGUAGAAUUUUUAUAAUUUCAGGUCUUAGAUUAAAAUCUUUAAUCUAUCUUAAUUUUCGUAUAUAAUGAGAGAUAUGAAUGCAGUUUCAUUAUUCUACAUUUGGAUAUCCAAUUUUCUCAGCAUCAUUUUUUGAAUAGGGUAUCCUUUCCCCAGUUUAUGUUUUUGUGUGCUUUGUUGACGAUCAGUUGGUCUUAAGUAUUUGGUUUUAUUUCUGGGUUCUCUAUUCUGUUCCAUUGGUCUAAGUACCUACUUCUCUGUCAAUACCAUGCUGUUUUGGUUACUAUAACCUUGUAAUAUAAUUUGAAGUCAGGUAAUAUGAUUCCUCUAGAUUUGUUCAUUUUGCUUAGGAUUGCUUUGGAUGUAUUUCCAUUUGUUUGUGUCAUCUAUGAUUUCUUUCAGCAGUGUUCUGUAGUUCUCCUUGUAGAGAUCUUUCUCGACCUUGGUUACGUAUAUUCUUUGGUAUUUUAUUUUUUGUAGCUAUUGUAAAAGGGAUUGAGUUCUUGAUUUAAUUCUCAGCUUGGUUGUUGUUGGUGUAUAGCAGUGCUAUUGAUUUGUGUAUACUGAUUUUGUAACCUGAGAGUAUACUGAAUUCAUUUAUCAAAUCUAGGAGUCUUUUGAAGGAGUCUCUAGGGUUUUCAAGGUAUAAGAUCAUAUGGUGGGCAAACAGAUAGUUUGACUUCCUUCUUUCCAAUUUGAAUGCCCUUUUUUUCUCUUGCCUGAUUGUUCUGGCUAAGACUUCUCUUUGCACACAUCUUUGAUUUCUUUCUUGGAAUAAAUGUCUACAUGAAGAAAUACCAGAUAAAAUACAUGCUCAUUUUAAAGGCUUUGAUUAUACUGCUAAAUUUCCCUCAAGAAAGGCCCACCAUGUAUGAAAGACAGUACUAGGAAUGGGGGUUACUUAAAACAUUCAUUGCUAAAUCUCAUUCAUAUAUUUUCAUUAAAUUUAUCCAACAAAUAUUUAUUGAGCACUGACUUCGUAUCAGGCAACAUACUGAGCAAUGAGACAAAAUGAUUCCCGCCUUCACAGAGUUCUUAUUCAAAUUUGAAGACGGUACUUCAAAAACUCUGCCAAACUUUCAUUUGGAAUAAUGGUGGAAUAUUCUGCAAAUAUUAAUUUGGAAUUUUAUAAAAGCGUAUUAGCUGGAGGUAUUUCAACAAUUUCCCUCAUUAAAAAAAUCUUUCUGUCAUGAAUUUAAAAUAAAAUUAUGUGAGGUUUCUUAAUGACUUGUUUCUCCUGGAACAUAUAGUUUUUUCAUACCCUGUUUCAUCCAGGUUCUUAUAGCUUUUGAAAAGCAAAUUGCAGCUGUUUUUAUCCAUAAUUAUCACUAGCUGGACUUGCUUGUUUCCAACAUCCUCAUAUUUUCAUAAUGAUUGAGCACAUAAUGCAAGCAACUAUUUCCAAGAAGAUCAAAGUAUGAAUAGAAAGAUGAUGCUAAUGACUGAAUAACAGAUAUUUGAAAUUUUUCUUGAAAAGUACCCAGUGAAAAUUUUACAGGCUAAAAUCCAACCUAUGCAAAGAUCAGAUCUGACAACAGCAGCACAAAUCUGUUAGUUGUACAAUAACUUUCUUCUGUGAUUCAGUCCAUUUCCAAAACCAGCUAAAAGGAUAUCUACUUAUGCUAGUAUUCAUAGUAGUAACUCUUCAAGAAUAGUUGCCUAAUUUAAAAACACUAGAAAAUAUGUUAAACAUUCCACUUAAAAAUCUUUUUCCCCCAUUCUUGUUUGAUAUGCUUAAGAAUCUUGAUGCUUUAAUUACAGACAAAUUUCAAACCUACUUCUGAAAAGCCUAGUAUUUCAUUAUAUGCAGUUUUCCAGUAAGUUGGCAAUAUAAUGAUGAUGAAGAUAGCAGCUACAAUUCAUUGAACGUACAAAAAUGCAAAGCAUGUAUUCUGCUGUAAAUGCAUUAUCUUACCCACCAACAUUUUAAGGAAAGACUUAUCUCCAUACACUAUUAAAGAUGAGAAAACAAAUGACGUGGUGAAAAGCAAAAAACUAUAGUGAAGGAAGAAUGAGAGAAAAGAAAAGAAAAAAAGAAGAGAAAACAAAGGCUUAGAGAGGCUGUGUAAUUUACCCAAGACCAGCUGGCCAGCCUCCAGAGGAUUUGAGAUCCUAACCUAAAUAGUCUAACCUGAGUCCUCCAUGCCACUCCACUUUUAUGACUAAGCCGUGCUAGGCUCCUCUUAGACUGUAAAGUUGUCUCUUCAGAACUUGAAACACAUGUUUAUGCAAAAUGCAACUGUGAUUGGCUGGACUGCCAGUCUUGUCCAUAAGACCCUAUUAAGCCCAUAAUGUUCCUAAAAAUAUAGAGGAUUAUAGAACUUACAUCUAAUAACUCUUGUAACUGUGCUUUAUUGAAAAAAAUAAAUGUAAAUGGCAAGCCAGGAUCACAUCUUUCCUUGUUAUAAUUUUAGCAGGAAUGGGGCCUCUGUGAACCCUAAACCAAUGGUGGUAAGCUCUAGUGGCUGGUCAGGCAGGGCAAAAGACGAGGGAUACAGACUUAAGAGUCUGGUAAAGAAGCAGUGAGAUGACUGAAGAGGAACAUGAAAAGAACUUAGAAAGAAGCUAUGGGGAAGCAAAAAAUAGAACUAGGAAUUUGGAGUAGGACAGUAAUAAGGCAGUUUUCCUUAUCUUGUCCUUAAGCUUUCCAUCUGAAUAACUGUGUAAUACUGUGAUAGGGCCAGAGGGAGAGGAUAGGAGGGAGGGGGGAUGGGGGAGAGAGAGCAAAUGCAAAUUGAAGUUUUCUCUUCCUUUAUGUAUUCUGUAUCUUACUAUCUAUCCCCUUCCAGUGGGCAGCUGCACUGCAAACCCCACAGCUAAACAGCAUUAUUUAAUGAAAGAAUGGAGGCUGGUGGAAGAGGACACUCUUGUGAGGCCUACAUUGCUGAGACUAGAUAGAUCCUAAGCAGAGGCAAGAAGGAUAUACAGUCAUAGCAGGAUUCAAUUUGGCGGCAACAGUGCUUCUUGCAACAGCACCGAAUUCCUCAUUUGGUUACUGUGGAGCUUCCAGAAAUUUUGCUAGUGCUGAUUUUAGGUGCCAGCUUGCCAUAGCUUCAGGGCACUCUAGAUUUGGAGCAUUGGAGGGAAGAAGAGAAAGGUAUUCAGCAGCAUUACUCAGUCAACAUGUCCUGACGGUGUGUGGAGUGACCUUCUAGAUUUUGUGGGGAGUGAUGAUGGCAAUAUUUCCUGGAGAAGCACGCUCAAUAAAGGAGAAAUGGGAUUAACACAACUGUGACAAAACUGCACUAAGUGAUUGGAAAGUAGGAAGCAUGUGGGCAAAUGAAUAGGCUACUGGCCUGAUUAAACCAGGAAAUCUCAAGCAGCACUGGAGUUCUGAAAGAAUUAAGGGGUGUGGCUGGUGGAAAGCUGACAAAACUCCCUCAGAGGGGGCAAUAGCAUGGAUAUGAAAUAGAAAUCAGCUAAAAAUAUUUAUUGUGUCCAUUGUACUAUAUACCAGUCAUUAAAAACAUGUGAAAUAGAGACAUUUUUAUAAGCUUGUAGGAGAACAUUAUAUGCUUUCAUGGAAGAAAGACAACGUAUUAUAGUCAUUCAAAAAUGGAUGUCAAGUAAUAUAGUGAAUAUAGAUACCCAAUUGCAGAGGUAAAGCUCAGUUGUGUAGAAAGAGCUUUAGAGUUGGGUCAGGUGAAAGAGAUAAAGGGAGAAAUGCUCUAUGAUAUGACUUAUAGAUGAAGUCUGGGGAUAACAGAAAUAUUCUAGGAACGGGAUGAUGGUGAAUAUAUUGCUGCUCGUGAAGACAAUUCUAAUAAAAAAAUGCGUGGCUUGGAAAACAUACUUGCUUAGUUAGAUGGCUUGUUUGGGCUAUGAUGAUAAAUUAGGUGGAUUCGUUAGGUAAUACACUUGACUUUAUAAAUAACCAACUGUAAAAUCUAAACAUUUACAUAAAUUUAUCAUGACU